rfam:Lepisosteus oculatus linkage group LG5, whole genome shotgun sequence.
GCCAGCAGCCAUAUCACCCCGCAACUCACAACUAACAGCCCACUGAAGCUCAGCAGGUGUGAGCCUGGUCAGUACCUGGAUGGGAGACCUCCUGGGAAAAACUAAGGUUGCUGCUGGAA